rnacentral:misc_RNA from 1 species
CUACUUUUAAGACUCAAUAUGGAUUAUAUAAUGGUUAGUCAUGCCUUUUAGCUUAUCAAAUGCACCUAGUACAUUUAUGAGGUUGAUAAAUCAUUUCUUACGUCCUUUUCUUAGUAAAUUUGUUGUUGUAUAUUUUGAUGAUAUCCUUGUAUAUAGCAAAAAUUUAGAUGAGCAUUUGAUUCAUUUGAGGUUUGUUUUUGAUGUGCUUAGAAAGGAACAAUUGUAAGCCAAUCUUAAGGAAAUGCACAUUUUGUAUGGAUAAGGUGAUCUUUCUAGGAUUUGUGGUUAGUGGCAAGGGUAUUGAAGUAGAUGAGGAUAAGGUGAAAGCCAUUAGAGAGUGGCCUACUCCAAAAUCCGUGAGUGAGGUUCGGAGUUUCCAUGGAUUGGCUAGCUUCAAUAGGCAGUUUGUGAGAGACUUUAGUAUCAUUGCUGCACCAUUGAAUGAGGUAGUGAAGAAGAAUGUAGGUUUUAAGUGGAAAAGGGAACAAGAGCACGCAUUUAACUUGCUUAAAGAAAAAUUGUGUUCUGCUCCUUUACUUGCCUUGCCCGAUUUCUCUAAAACUUUAGAAAUUGAAUGUGAUGCCUUUGGGAUAGGUAUUG